rnacentral:rRNA from 1 species
CAAUAGCGUAUAUUAAAGUUGUUGCAGUUAAAAAGCUCGUAGUUGGAUUUCUGUGAGAGUGCCGGUGUCGGCUGAUGCUUGUACGCAGGCGCUCUUACAUCCUUCUGUUAACUGUUCUUGGCAUUUUAUUGCUGGUUCAGGGCUCAGAUAUUUUACCUUGAGAAAAUUAGAGUGUUUCAGGCAGGCUUAUGCCGGAAUACAUUAGCAUGGAAUAAUGGAACAGGACCUGUGCGUCUCUCGGGGCGCCGGUCUCCGUUAUUGGUUUCGGGGACUAAUGUAAUGAUUAAUAGGGAUAGUUGGGGGCAUUAGUAUUUAAUAGUCAGAGGUGAAAUUCUCGGAUUUGUUAAAGACUAACUUAUGCGAAAGCAUCUGCCAAGGAUGUUUNCAUUA